rnacentral:rRNA from 1 species
UACGUAGGGGGCAAGCGUUGUCCGGAUUUAUUGGGCGUAAAGCGCUCGCAGGUGGUUCGAUACGUCGUGCGUGAAAGACCCCGGCUCAACUGGGGAGGGUCAUUCGAUACUGGUCGACUCGAAGGCAGGAGAGGGAAGCGGAAUUCCCGGUGUAGUGGUGAAAUGCGUAGAUAUCGGGAGGAACACCAGUGGCGAAGGCGGCUUCCUGGCCUGUUCUUGACGCUGAGGCGCGAAAGCUAGGGGAGCAAACGGG